GGAAAUGUAUCUCAAUGGUAGAGUGCUUCUCUUGCAUACAAGAAGCCCUGGGUUCAAACCUCAGUACCA
rnacentral:tRNA from 1 species